UCCGUCAUGAAAGAGAGGCAAAAACGCCAAUCUAGCGGCAAGACACUGGACAAGACUGAUUGCCGAGGAAUUUCACAAAGAACGAGCUCACAUAUAGCAUCUAGCAUUUUCAUUAUAAUAAAACAAACAGCACCAGCAGGAGUUGAAGCAGAGGGCGGCUAUGAUCAUCUUGUUAUCCCGCAGUGUGCUCCUGUCAGUUUAUUACCCGCAGAUGUUUCUUAUCCUCACCAGCGGAAGUUACCUAGCGCUGUCCUCAGUUGUCGCCUUGGGAGCGAAUAUCAUUUGCAACAAGAUCCCAGGACUGGCGCCCCGGCAGCGGGCGAUCUGUCAGAGCCGCCCGGAUGCCAUCAUCGUGAUCGGGGAAGGGGCGCAGAUGGGAAUCAACGAGUGUCAAUAUCAGUUCAGGUACGGCCGCUGGAACUGCUCUGCCCUCGGAGAGAAAACCGUCUUCGGACAGGAACUGAGAGUGGGUAGCCGAGAAGCAGCAUUCACUUACGCCAUCACCGCGGCUGGUGUAGCUCAUGCAGUGACUGCUGCCUGCAGUCAAGGGAACCUGAGCAACUGUGGCUGUGACAGAGAGAAACAGGGCUACUACAACCAGGAAGAGGGCUGGAAGUGGGGAGGCUGCUCUGCAGACAUCAAAUAUGGAAUCGAGUUCUCAAGGAAAUUCGUAGAUGCAAGGGAGAUCAAAAAAAAUGCCAGGAGGCUGAUGAAUCUGCAUAACAAUGAGGCGGGGAGAAAGAUUCUGGAAGAAAGAAUGAAGUUGGAAUGCAAGUGUCAUGGUGUCUCUGGCUCAUGUACAACCAAGACAUGUUGGACAACUCUUCCCAAAUUCCGAGAAAUCGGAUACAUCUUGAAAGAAAAGUACGGUGAGGCUGUUCAUGUUGAAGCAGUGAGGGCCAGCAGAUUACGCCAGCCCACCUUUCUUAAAAUCAAGAAGCCCAGGACCUAUCGAAAGCCAAUGGACACAGAUCUAGUUUAUAUAGAGCGAUCGCCAAACUACUGUGAGGAGGACAGCUCAACGGGGAGCGUGGGCACACAGGGACGGUUAUGUAAUCGCACCUCCCAUCAUGGGGAUGGCUGUGACCUGAUGUGCUGCGGCCGAGGUUACAACACCCACCAGUAUACCAAAGUGUGGCAGUGCAACUGCAAAUUCCACUGGUGCUGUUUUGUCAAGUGCAACACAUGCAGCGAGAGGACCGAAGUCUUCACCUGUAAGUGAGAUGGUUACCCCAACAGAAAAGCAGACGGACACUCUAUCCUUGGGGUGGAGAAUCACAACAAAAGCGAAAUGAGAAGGAAGAAACAAGGAGUCAACAAAAAAAAGAGUGGAAUUGAGAAUCAACUCAGUACAGCAUCAAUUUGCACAUCUACUUACAAACACCCACUCUUUGCUUGAAACAUGUUGCAAGUCGCUUGGCUAUGUUUCUACAUCAUGAUCAUAAUAAAACAUGAGUUGGUUGCUAUUUGAUAGACCUGGUGCUGGUGAAAAUCUGCAGUCCAUUCUUAUGGGCAGUAUUAUUAUUGACAUCUGUAUGGCAAGUGGUGGGGAAACCAGCUAUAACUCCCAGAAUGCCAUGCACUUGACUAUCUUGCCUCACUUUCACAAUCUCCACAAGAAACUCUGCUCAGUCAUAGCACUAUCCUCAUGUUGUGAGAAAACAAACAAUAUUUUUUCACACACAAAACAAGAAAUGCUUGAGGCACAAAGUGGGCACUAAAGAGGUCAUCAAAUGGCAAAGAAACGAAACAAUUGCUCAGUGCUAUUAAGGACUGGAAAUGACUUAGCUGCAUCACCCAAGACGUGAUGGGCUAAGGUCCAGAGUAAAGGAGGAAGAUGGGAAGAUCCAUUUGUUAUUUUGUUCGGAACUGACUAAAUAUGUGUCUUGUCCAGUCUCACUGGAGCUAUUUGGAUACUAGAAAAAAAGUUUAUUUAUGUUAUAGAAUGAACAAAUCUAAGCACUAACGGGUAGUAAUAUUGUAAUUUUUUAAAAAUGUAAACCUGUUAGAUUCUUUCCUGACUUAUUAUGCAUUAAUUUGGAUAUUUCUCCAAAUGUUUCUUGGACACUAAUCUGCUUAUACAUUGAUAGUUUAACAGAAAGUGUGGCUAGAAUGAUACGGAGGGAUACAUGAACAGUGUAAAUUCUAAAAUUUACAUCAAGCUAUUCAUUGUUUUGAAUACUCUUUAAAAAAAUAUUAAUUUAUUUUGAAAGGAAGUUCCUGAAUGCUGGGACAAAGGGACAUAAAAUGCUACAGGUACUCUUUAGUUUUGUUCGAAAAUGAAGUCAUGUCACGUGGCUCUUCAUAAGCAAUGAAUGGCAGGCGGCACUGCCACAUUCAACUGGUUUAUGCUUUCACUACUUUUCCUGUAUCUGAAAGGCAUAACAGGGAACUAUUGGAGCAGAAAUAAGAUGUGUUUUGUUAGUUGUCUGAAGCCCUGAGGACCGGAACCGGAUAACUCCUGAUAUUGUAGACUGGAUUGACAGAAAAUAAAUCCGUUUCUUUCUGAUAAACAUUUCGCCAUUAAAAAAAAUAUGAGAUACAAAAACAGGCUUUGCUGUGUGGGUACUUUGCUGUAAGGCUAGUAUUGUCAACGUGUCAGAAUCAUUAGCUCAUUGGCAUAUAUUCUGCAAGCUAAUGCUUCUGGUCUAAUUCACUAUACGGACAACAUGUCUGCUACUAAAAUAAAACCCAGACUGAAAAGAGAGGGGGAAAAAAGUGCUAAAAGCGACAGGAGUGGUGAAACACAGGAUCAUUGCACUCUGCAGCCAGGCUGCUGCUGCGACAACCUUUCAUCCCUUCAUGUCCUAUUAACCCCCUCCCAACUUAUCUUUCUGCUCAACUGUUGCCAUGCUAUUUGUGGUCCCACAUUCACCAUGUGCCACAAAUGUACAAUGGCCCUCUACAAACAUGCAUCUCUGGAGCAACUACAAAUCUGUGGAGCAACUUCCUCUUGCACACCUUCAUAAAGAGGAACAAUUGUUAGGUCUGACUGAAAGAGCAAAGGAAUGUGAAGUUUAUUGAUGUAAUAAUCAGACACAGACUACAAGCAGAACCUGCUUAGUGACGGCAUGACUCAUAGGAAAUGUACACACUGGCUUUCAAAACUAUGGGAUCACUUAAUUCAUAGAUUUUCACUCUACAACCAAAGUGAUCCUUUGUUGGUUUAGUUCUAGAUUUAUGUUGGAAAGUCUUUGGUUAACUUGAAAUCAAGCAGGGGAAGGGGUCAGCAGGGUCAUGGAACCCACCCUCUUAAUCUUUAAAAACAUUAAGGGCACAUGCAUUUGCUUGUUCAUGUAUAAUGUACAUAUGUCUGAAGUAUCCACCAAAUGUG